rnacentral:rRNA from 1 species
CCCUUAGAUGUUCUGGGCCGCACGCGCGCUACACUGAUGCAUUCAACGAGUCUAAAACCUGGUCUGAUAGGGCUGGGUAAUCUUUUGAAUGUGCAUCGUGAUUGGGAUAGAUGAUUGCAAUUCUUCAUCUUCAACGAGGAAUUCCUAGUAGACGUAGUUCAUCAGACUGCAUCGAUUACGUCCCUGCCCUUUGUACACACCGCCCGUCGCUCCUACCGAUUGAAUGCUCAGGUGAGCCAUUCGGACUUUCAUCAUGCUGGUUUCCAGUUUUGAUGAAGGAAAGUCUUGCGAACCUUAUCAUUUAGAGGAAGGAGAAGUCGUAACA